rnacentral:rRNA from 1 species
CCUACGGGAGGCAGCAGUGGGGAAUAUUGGGCAAUGGGCGCAAGCCUGACCCAGCAACGCCGCGUGAAGGAAGAAGGCUUUCGGGUUGUAAACUUCUUUUCUCAGGGACGAAGCAAGUGACGGUACCUGAGGAAUAAGCCACGGCUAACUACGUGCCAGCAGACGCGGUAAUACGUAGGUGGCAAGCGUUAUCCGGAUUUACUGGGUGUAAAGGGUGCGUAGGCUGGGAGGGCAGUCAGCGGUGAAAUGCCCCCGCUCAACGGGGUGACGUGCCAUUGAUACUGCCUUGCUGGAAUGCGGAUGCCGUGGGAGGAAUGUGUGGUGUAGCGGUGAAAUGCAUAGAUAGCACACAGAACACCGAUUGCGAAGGCAUCUCACGAAUCCGCGAUUGACGCUGAUGCACGAAAGCGUGGGUAUCAAACAGGAUUAGAUACCCUAGUAGUC